AACGAACGCUGGCGGCAUGCCUAACACAUGCAAGUCGAACGAGACCUUCGGGUCUAGUGGCGCACGGGUGCGUAACGCGUGGGAACCUGCCCUUAGGUUCGGAAUAACUCCCCGAAAGGGGUGCUAAUACCGGAUAAUGUCUUCGGACCAAAGAUUUAUCGCCUUUGGAUGGGCCCGCGUUGGAUUAGCUAGUUGGUAGGGUAAAAGCCUACCAAGGCGACGAUCCAUAGCUGGUCUGAGAGGAUGAUCAGCCACACUGGGACUGACACGGCCCAGACUCCUACGGGAGGCAGCAGUGGGGAAUAUUGGACAAUGGGCGAAAGCCUGAUCCAGCAAUGCCGCGUGAGUGAUGAAGGCCUUAGGGUUGUAAAGCUCUUUUACCCGGGAUGAUAAUGACAGUACCGGGAGAAUAAGCUCCGGCUAACUCCGU
rnacentral:rRNA from 1 species